rnacentral:rRNA from 1 species
UACAGAGGGGGCAAGCGUUGUUCGGAAUUACUGGGCGUAAAGGGCGCGUAGGCGGCCUUCUAAGUCAGACGUGAAAUCCCUCGGCUUAACCGGGGAACUGCGUCUGAUACUGGAUGGCUUGAGUUCGGGAGAGGGAUGCGGAAUUCCAGGUGUAGCGGUGAAAUGCGUAGAUAUCUGGAGGAACACCGGUGGCGAAGGCGGCAUCCUGGACCGAUACUGACGCUGAGGAGCGAAAGCCAGGGGAGCAAACGGG